ACACGACUACAUUAGAUACCCGUGUAGUCCUAGCCGUAAACGAUACCCGCUAGGUGUCGGCCACGGUGCGACCGUUGUCGGUGCCGUAGGGAAGCCGUGAAGCGAGCCACCUGGGAAGUACGGCCGCAAGGCUGAAACUUAAAGGAAUUGGCGGGGGAGCACCACAAUGGGUGGAGCUUGCGGUUUAAUUGGAUUCAACGCCGGAAAUCUUACCGGGACCGACAGCAACAUGAAGGCCAGGCUGAAGACUUUGCCGGAUUAGCUG
rnacentral:rRNA from 1 species